rnacentral:rRNA from 1 species
GCGGCAAAAGGGUGAGUAACGCGUUGGUUACCUGCCUUGAGGAGGAGGAUAGUCUCAUGAAAAUGAGAGUAAUACUCCAUCGUACCCCGGUCUUGUUAGAUCGGGAUUAAAGAUGGCCUAUGGUUUACUAUGCUGUCGCCUCAAGAGGGGCCAGCGUCCUAUCAGGUAGUUGGUAGGGUAAAAGCCUACCAAGCCGACGACGGGUAGCUGGCAUUAGUGUGUGGUCAGCCACACCGGGACUGAGACACUGCCCGGACUCCUACGGGAGGCUGCAGUCGAGAAUCUUUUCCAAUGGGGGAAACCCUGAGAAUGCGACGCCGCGUGGAGGAUGAAGCGUUUCGGCGUGUAAACUCCUUUUUAUCAGAGAGGAACGUUUUCUAAUGAAUAGUUAGGAAGCUUGACUGUAUCUGAUGAAUAAGCCACGGCUAACUCCGUGCCAGCAGCCGCGGUAAUACGGGGGUGGCAAGCGUUACUCGGUUUGACUGGGUGUAAAGGGUCUGUAGGCGGCCAAAUAAGUAGGAAGUGAAAUCCUUCGGCUCAACCGGAGAACUGCUCCCUAAACUGUUUGGCUUGAGGUUGGAAGAGGAGAGUGGAACUGCCAGUGUAAGGGUGAAAUCUGUGGAUAUUGGCAGGAAUGCCCGUGACGAAGGUGGCUCUCUGGUCCAAACCUAACGCUGAGGGACGAAAGCUAGGGGAGCGAACAGGAUUAGAUACCCUGGUAGUCCUAGCUGUAAACGAUGGGCACUAGGUGUUUCUGCCUUUGGCAGGAGUGUCGAAGCUAACGCGUUAAGUGCCCCACCUGGGGACUACGGCCGCAAGGCUAAAACUCAAAGGAAUUGACGGGGGCCCGCACAAGCGGUGGAACACGUGGUUUAAUUCGAUGCUACGCGAGGAACCUUACCAGGGUUUGACAUGCUGGAUGUAACCGCCUGAAAGGGUGGGUGACCUGUAACCAAUCAGGAACCAGCACAGGUGCUGCAUGGCUGUCGUCAGCUCGUGCCGUGAGGUGUUACCUUAAGUGGUAAAACGAGCGCAACCCUCGCUCUUAGUUGCCAUCGCUCCGGCGUUAGUCGGAGGCUGGGCACUCUAAGGGGACUGCCCACGUUUAAGUGGGAGGAAGGCGGGGAUGACGUCAAGUCCGCAUGGCCCAUAUAUCCUGGGCGACACACGUGUUACAAUGGUACGUACAACGGGAGGCUAAGCCGCAAGGUGGAGCAAAUCCUUAAAAGCGUGCCCCAGUUCGGAUCGAGGCUUGCAAUUCAGCCUCGUGAAGCUGGAAUCGCUAGUAAUGGCGCAUCAGAACGGCGCCGUGAAUACGUUCCCGGGCCUUGUACACACCGCCCGUCAAGCGCUGAAAGUGAGGAGCACCCGAAUUCCGAUGUAAGUCGGAACACGGUGAAUUUCAUGAUUGGCGCUAAGUCGUAACAAGGUA